GCCGGAGUGGCGGAAUAGGCAGACGCAAGGGACUUAAAAUCCCUCGGGCUCAAAAGGCCCGUACCGGUUCGAUCCCGGUCUCCGGCA
rfam:Candidatus Nitrospira nitrificans, isolate COMA2 genome assembly, contig: COMA2_Contig_25